rnacentral:rRNA from 1 species
UACAGAGGUCUCAAGCGUUCUUCGGAUUCAUUGGGCGUAAAGGGUGCGUAGGCGGCGCGGUAAGUCGGGUGUGAAAUCUCGGGGCUUAACUCCGAAACUGCAUUCGAUACUGCCGUGCUUGAGGACUGGAGAGGAGACUGGAAUUUACGGUGUAGCGGUGAAAUGCGUAGAUAUCGUAAGGAAGACCAGUGGCGAAGGCGGGUCUCUGGACAGUUCCUGACGCUGAGGCACGAAGGUCAGGGGAGCAAACGGG